rnacentral:tRNA from 1 species
UCAAGAAUAGUAUAAGUGUACACAAAGUUUUGGUCUUUGAGGUGGAGGUAAUAUCUUCUUUUUGAAA